rnacentral:rRNA from 1 species
AUUGAACGCUGGCGGCAGGCCUAACACAUGCAAGUCGAACGAGUGGCGGACGGGUGAGUAAUGUCUGGGAAACUGACUGUUGGAGGGGGAUAACUCCUGGAAACGGUAGCUAAUACCGCAAACCAUCGGAUGUGCCCAGAUGGGAUUAGCUAGUAGGUGGGGUAACGGCGCACCUAGGCGACGAUCCCUAGCUGGUCUGAGAGGAUGACCAGCCACACUGGAACGGAGCCACGGUCCAGACGCCUCCGGGAGGCAGCAGUGGGGAAUAUUGCACAAUGGGCGCAAGCCUGAUGCAGCCAUGCCGCGUGUAUGAAGAAGGCCUUCGGGUUGUAAAGUACUUUCAGCGGGGAGGCGUUACCCGCAGAAGAAGCACCGGCUAACUCCGUGCCAGCCGCCGCGGUAAUUC